GCAAGAUCCUGAGAGUUCUGCUCAGCUGCAAGAUUACGUUCUUAGUGCUUAUGACAAUUCUGCAAAAGAGAGGGCUGGUGGCCGCCUUUUGGUCCCAAACGUACAAGUCUGUAGGGGAUGACUUGAUU